CAAGUUCCACUUUUCUGUAAAGCACUUAAUUCAUCCAGCAUGACUUGACGCCAGCCAGGAUGAAUUAAGGCAUCACCCACAGGCUUGGGAAUUGACAUUGAAGAAAUAGAUGAGAGACAUGUGUAAAAAGAUGGAGAUAAUCUGUGGUAAUUAAGAACAAUAUAAUGGGGGGAAGGGUUACGAGUGGAGCCUAUACCUGUAGGGAGGGCAAUGGGCAGGUCAGACUCAUUUGCUGGAGCCAGAGGAGACACAGGAGGCGGCACUGGAAGUGAGUCAUGAGGGAGACGAUUGCAGCGACUAUAAACCUAAAGGGGUGGAGUUGAAGGAUGAUCCUGUGGGGGAAUAAGAGUCUAAGGAAGGAGAAGGAUGACAGAAAAAAGGAAUAUCAACAGUAGCAGGUGGAGGUACAGAUGUAGAAGAUAAAUGUGAAAAGUAAAACGAAGAUUCAUCAAAAGUGACAUCAAUAGAGAUGAAAUGACGAUUGAGGGAAGGGGAAAAACACUUAUAGCCCUUUUGUGAAUGUGGAAAUCCUAUGAAGACACAUUUGUGAGAUCUAGGAGAUAACUUAUCAAGACCAAAACUAAAAUCAUGAACAAAACAUGUAGGCCCAAAAAUUUUAAGAGGUAAUGGAUGUAAAGGGUCUUAAGGAAAUAAGAUAGAAUGAGGGAUUUUGUUAUCUAGGACAGAAGACGACAUGUGGUUUAUGAGAUAACAUGCAGUGAGAACUGCGUCACCCCAAAAACACGACGGUACUUGACCAUGGAUUAGAAGUGUACGAGUUGUUUCAAUAAGGUGUCUAUUCUUGCGCUCUGCCACCCUAUUUUGUUGAGGGGUAUAGGCACAUGAGGUCUGGUGAAGAAUGCCAUGAGAAGCCAUAAAAUGUUUAAACAGUUGAGAAAGGUAUUCACGACCAUUAUCACUGCUAAGUGCAAAUAGAAACCCCAAACUCAGUUUUUAUUUCAUUGAAAAAUGAUUGGAAAAUAGAAAAUAACUCAGAACGAUUCUUCAUUAGAAACAACCAAGUACAUCUGGAAUAGUCAUCAAUAAAGGUAACAAAAUACUGAAAUCCUAAAGUUGAUUUAACAUGACUAGGUUCCCAAAUAUCAGAAUGAACCAAUGAAAAGGGGGAUGACGCUCGUUGUGAAACACUACAAGGAAAGGAACUACGAGUAUAUUUACCUAACUGAUAAGAUUCACACGACAAACUUGAUAAUUU
rnacentral:lncRNA from 1 species